rnacentral:rRNA from 1 species
CAAUAGCGUAUAUUAAAGUUGUUGCAGUUAGAACGCUCGUAGUCGGAUUUCGGGGCGGGCCGACCGGUCUGCCGAUGGGUACGCACUGGUCGGCGCGUCCUUCCUUCCGGAGACCGUUCCUACUCUUAACUGAGCGGGGGCGGGAGACGGAUCGUUUACUUUGAAAAAAUCAGAGUGUUUCAAGCAGGCAGCUCGCUCUUGCAUGGAUUAGCAUGGGAUAAUGAAAUAGGACUUUGGUGCUAUUUUGUUGGUUUCGAACACCGAAGUAAUGAUUAAAAGGGACAGUCAGGGGCACUCGUAUUCCGCCGAGAGAGGCGAAAUUCUCAGACCAGCGGAAGACGAACUACUGCGAAAGCAUUUGCCAGGGAUGUUUUCACUGA